GACGAACGCUGGCGGCGUGCUUAACACAUGCAAGUCGAACGGAAAGGCCCUGCUUGCCGGGUACUCGAGUGGCGAACGGGUGAGUAACACGUGGGUGAUCUGCCCUGCACUUCGGGAUAAGCCUGGGAAACUGGGUCUAAUACCGGAUAGGAGCCAUUUUUAGGGUGAUGGUUGGAAAGUUUUUUCGGUGUAGGAUGAGCUCGCGGCCUAUCAGCUUGUUGGUGGGGUAAUGGCCUACCAAGGCGGCGACGGGUAGCCGGCCUGAGAGGGUGGACGGCCACAUUGGGACUGAGAUACGGCCCAGACUCCUACGGGAGGCAGCAGUGGGGAAUAUUGCACAAUGGGCGCAAGCCUGAUGCAGCGACGCCGCGUGGGGGAUGACGGCCUUCGGGUUGUAAACUCCUUUCGCUAGGGACGAAGCUUUAUGUGACGGUACCUAGAUAAGAAGCACCGGCUAACUACGUG
rnacentral:rRNA from 1 species